rnacentral:rRNA from 1 species
CAGGUUGAAGCGUCGGUAAUACGACGUGGAGGACCGAACCGGUGUGUGUUGAAAAACGCUCGGAUGAGCUGUGGGUCGGAGUGAAAGGCUAUUCAAACCCCGUGAUAGCUGGUUCUCCUCGAAAUGCAUUUAGGUGCAGCGUUGCGUGCUGAUGAGUGGGGGUAGAGCACUGACAGGGCUAGGGGGCAUACCCGCCUACCAACCCCUAUCAAACUCCGAAUACCAUUCAAUGGAGCGCAGCAGUGAGACGGCGGGGGAUAAGCUUCGUCGUCGAGAGGGAAACAGCCCAGACCGGCAGCUAAGGUGCCUAAAUAGUGCUCAGUGGAAAGGAGGUGAGGUUUCAUAGACAGUGAGGAUGUUGGCUUAGAAGCAGCCACCAUUUAAAAAAUGCGUAAUAGCUUACUCAUCGAGAGACCUUGCGCCGAAAAUACUUGGCGAUAAGCACUAUACCGAAGCUCCGGGUGUCAUAUUUAACUAUAUGGCGCGGUAGAGGAGCAUUCUCUAGACAGUGAAGGGUGAUGGUGACUGACCCUGGAGUGUAGAGAAGUGAGAAUGCAGACAUGAGUAACGAUAAGGCCGGUGAAAUCCCGGCCCGCCGUAAAUCCAAGGUUUCCCGGGCAACGUUUUUCGUCCCGGGGUUAGUCGGGACCUAACCCGAGGCCGAAGGGCGUAGGGGAUGGAAAGCAGGUUAAUAUUCCUGCACCCAGUUAGGAGGACGCAUGAUCAAAAGCUACUAAGUUAUUGAAUUCUGAGGUGAUACUACGGUUGAUCCGCAUAGCUAGAGAGAGUGCCAAGAAAAGUCCUAACAUUAAUGGCCCGUACCGUAAACCGACACAGGUGGAUGGGUAGAAUAUACCAAGGCGCAAGAGUGAAACCUAGUCAAGGAACUCGGCAAAAUAGCCCCGUAACUUCGGAAGAAGGGGUGCCUAUUUUUUAAUAGGCCGCAGUGAAAUGGCCCAACCGACUGUUUAGCAAAAACACAGCAUUGUGCUAAGACGUAAGUCGACGUAUACGAUGUGACACGUGACCAAUGCCAAAAGAUUACGGUAAGGUGUUAGCCCUCGUGGCAAAGCUCCAAGCCCAAGUCCUGGUGAAUGUCGGCCGUAACUAUAACGGUCCUAAGGUAGCGAAAUUCCUUGUCGGGUAAGUUCCGACCUGCACGAAUCGUGCAACGAGUUGGGCGCUGUCUCGACUAGAUGCUCAGUGAAAUUGUAGUGCCGGUGAAGAUGCCGGCUACCCGCAGAAAGACGGAAAGACCCUAUAGACCUUAACUGUAAGCUGUUACUGGUUAUUCGAUUUUAAUGCUCAGCAUAAGUGGGAGACGUUGAAGCGUGUUUUUAGGAACAUGUGGAGUCAUCAGUGAGAUACCACCCUUUAACAUUGGAUGAUCUAACCCUAAGCCGUCAUCCGGCUAGGGGACCGUGGCAGCCGGUCAGUUUUACUGGGGCGGUAUCCUCCUAAAGAGUAACGGAGGAGCGCGAAGUUUGGCUCAGCACAGUUGGUAACUGUGUGUUGAGUGUAAAGGCAUAAGCCAGACUAACUGUGAGACCUACAAGUCGAGCAGAUACGAAAGUAGGCCUUAGUGAUCCGGCGGUUGAAUGUGGAAUUGCCGUCGCUCAACGGAUAAAAGGUACCUUAGGGAUAACAGGCUUAUUUCGCCCAAGAGUUCAUAUCGACGGCGAAGUUUGGCACCUCGAUGUCGGCUCGUCGCAUCCUGGGGCUGGAGAAGGUCCCAAGGGUCCGGCUGUUCGCCGGUUAAAGCGGCACGCGAGCUGGGUUCAGAACGUCGCGAGACAGUUCGGUCCUCUAUCUUCUGUGGGCGUAGGAAAAUUGAUGGGUUCAGAUCCUAGUACGAGAGGACCGGAUCUGACGCACCUCUGGUGUUCCAGUUGUUCUGUCAAGGGCAUUGCUGGGUAGCUAAGUGCGGCACGGAUAAGCGCUGAAAGCAUCUAAGCGCCAAGCCAUUCCAGAGAUUAAUUUUCCCUGAAGGAUCGUGGAAGACCACCACGUUGAUAGGCUGAGGGUAUAAGUGCAGUAAUGUAUGUAGCUCAUCAGUACUAAUCAUCCGUUCGACUUAAUUCC